CCAUUUCUUAAUUUUCUCAAUCCAAGGAUAUCUGCCUACAGGACUCAGGAACCUAGAGCUGCUCUCACAUUUACCACCUUUGGGCAAACACACAAAAAUUUCUGCUGAACACUCUUUGACAUUUUCCUUGUCCUUUUAAUGCAGAGCAAGGACAGGGGUCAGAGAACAGUGAGGAUGCGGAGGACACAGACGUUCACUAGACAGAGCACAGUCAUGGGACAAGAACCUGGAACUCACUGAAAAGCAGGAGUGAAGGAGCUGUAAUGGUGUAAUGGUCCCACUCACCGAGCUGCUUGUGGCAAGGGUCAAAGAACUGUAAUAUUCCCUCCUGCUCACUGAACAAUGGGAGUGAAGAAGCAGCAACAACAGCACCAGAGGGUUGAUUUGAAAAUGGUGAAGAAAGAAUUGGAAUGGUGGGAAAAUAUCUAGAUGCCUGUCAGUCUGCAAGAAGAUCAUCUUAGUGUCUCCAGAAACCACCGUCCUUAAGAUAUUUCUACUUGAGCAACAGGAAACAAUGCUUUCACUUCCAGUGGGAUCAUGGGCCGUAGUAAGGAUGUUGCUGAAGUUGUUUGUGGCAUUAUUUUCUGGUCAGUGAGAGCAGCUCUUCGCAGAAUGAAAAUAUCCUGAAGAAGCAAAGCUAGAAAAUUGAAAAACAAAGACUAGAGUUGAUUCCUUCCACUGGGUUCAUGGUCUCGCUGACUUCAAGAAUGGAGCCGCAGACCUUCAGGGCUGGAAAUUUCUGACCUGCUACCAACAUCAUCUCGGUUUCACCACUGUCAACUAUGAGUUAUUCUAUUAAUUGACUAGGCAGAAUCCUAGAAUUACAGCCUUUCAGGAGCAGGAGAGUAUUUAGAGAUCAUCUAUUUCAAGUUUUUCAUUAAAAAGCUGAAACAGUAGGAGAGGUGAAUAAAUUAAAAUGGAAAGUAAUCUGGUUGGCAAAAAAGAGAUUUUAUAAUAAUAACAUAAUACAAUAACCAGAGGAGCAACCAGAAGGGAGGCUUUGGAAAGGACUGAGAAUUCCACCAGAUAUAAUAGUUAUGAUGAGCCAAACAUACUUUGAGUUAGCAUAUGAAUUAUAUCACGUGGCUUCAAGAAUCACCCCUGUCAGGAGAAUUUUCACCUACUGCAUGAAAAGACAAUGUUCCAAGAAGUUUUGUUAGAAUAUUAUCUAGCCAGAACUACCUGGCCAUGGUGAGGCCAGUAGGAAUUUUAUUUAAAAUGUACAUUGCUGGGCCUCAGGCUCUGGAGACGUGCUUGGAAGCUAAGCUUUCAACAAACACUCCAGGAAAUUCUCCUGUACACUAGGGCUUAAGAAGCAGAGGACUGUGAUUUUGAAUUUAUAAACUAUUCAUAAUUUGUCCAGAACCAUGACUUCUGUUUUCUUUUCACUACAUAUUUUGUUUCAUAAUAGUUAGCAGUAAAAUAUAUUAUAUGUGUCUCUUGUUUAUAAGACUGCAUUCUAAAUUCUGCUGUUAUUCCUUAGGGGGGAAAAACUCAUAAAAACAAAACAGAGGAUGAAUAUUUUGAAAAAAGAAAAGAAUCCCCAAUAACCUAGGA
rnacentral:lncRNA from 10 species